rnacentral:rRNA from 1 species
GAUCCUGGCUCAGGAUGAACGCUAGCUACAGGCUUAACACAUGCAAGUCGAGGGGCAGCAUGGUCUUAGCUUGCUAAGGCCGAUGGCGACCGGCGCACGGGUGAGUAACGCGUAUCCAACCUGCCUUACACUCUUGGACAGCCUUCUGAAAGGGAGAUUAAUACAAGAUGUUAUCAUGAGUAAGCAUUUUCGCAUGAUUAAAGGUUUACCGGUGUAAGAUAAGGAUGCGUUCCA